AUUGAACGCUGGCGGCAUGCCUUACACAUGCAAGUCGAACGGCAGCGGACCUUCGGGUGCCGGCGAGUGGCGAACGGGUGAGUAAUAUAUCGGAACGUACCUUUCAGUGGGGGAGUAACGUAGCGAAAGUUAACGCUAAUACCGCAUAUUCUGUGAGCAGGAAAGCAGGGGAGUCGCAAGACCUUGCGCUGAUUGAGCGGCCGAUAUCAGAUUAGCUAGUUGGUGAGGUAAAGGACUCACCAAGGCGACGAUCUGUAGCGGGUCUGAGAGGAUGAUCCGCCACACUGGAACUGAGACACGGUCCAGACUCCUACGGGAGGCAGCAGUGGGGAAUUUUGGUACAAUGGGCGC
rnacentral:rRNA from 1 species